UACGAAGGGGGCUAGCGUUGUUCGGAAUCACUGGGCGUAAAGCGCACGUAGGCGGGUCGUUAAGUCGGGGGUGAAAUCCCAGAGCUCAACUCUGGAACUGCCUUCGAUACUGGCGAUCUUCGAGUCCGGGAGAGGUGAGUGGAACUCCGAGUGUAGAGGUGAAAUUCGUAGAUAUUCGGAAGAACACCAGUGGCGAAGGCGGCUCACUGGCCCGGUACUGACGCUGAGGUGCGAAAGCGUGGGGAGCAAACAGG
rnacentral:rRNA from 1 species